AGUCGGACGGGCCGCAAGGCCAGUGGCGCAAGGGUGAGUAAGGCGACGGUAACCAACCCCGCGGGUGGGCAUAGCCGAGGGAAACUCCUGGGUAAUUCCCAGCGACAUGGCGACCCGGCAUCGGGAUGCCAUCAAAGAUUUAUCGCCGCGGGACGGGCCUUCGUGGUAUUAGGUUGUUGGCGGGGUGACGGCCCACCAAGCCUGCGAUGCCUACCGGGCGUGCGAGCGUGGCCCGGCACACUGGGACUGAGACACUGCCCAGACUCCUACGGGAGGCUGCAGUCGAGAAUCUUCGGCAAUGGGCGCAAGCCUGACCGAGCGACGCCGCGUGGAGGACGAAGGCCUUCGGGUUGUAAACUCCUGUCGAGGGGGAGGAAGGCGCAAGCUUGACCGAUCCCUGGAGGAAGCACGGGCUAAGUUCGUGCCAGCAGCCGCGGUAAGACGAACCGUGCGAACGUUAUUCGGAAUCACUGGGCUUAAAGCGCGUGUAGGCGGGCCGCCGCGUCGGCUGCUGAAAUCCCCCGGCUCAACCGGGGAACGGGCACCGAUACGGGCGGCCUCGAGGGGGGUAGGGGGGACUGGAACUUCCGGUGGAGCGGUGAAAUGCGUUGAGAUCGGAAGGAACGCCCGUGGCGAAAGCGAGUCCCUGGACCCUUUCUGACGCUGAGACGCGAAAGCCAGGGGAGCGAACGGGAUUAGAUACCCCGGUAGUCCUGGCCGUAAACGAUGAACAC
rnacentral:rRNA from 1 species